CUGUCAACUUAAUAUUCCACACAAAUCUUCUUUGGGCGGCAAUCCAUUUCUCUCUCUCUCUCUCAAAUUACCAAGAACCUAGAUCCAGAUUUUCUCUUUCUCUCUGUCUUUCUUUAUUCACCCUUAAAUCAAUGAAGAAGAACAUCGUUCCAUUUGGUGAUGUCGAUUCAAGCCUAAAUCGCCACAAUUUCUGCUCUUACAUCUUUCUCCUUGAUCUAGGGUCCAGACCAUAGACCAUUAAAGGAGGCCGACUAAACUAGGGUUUCGACUACUGAUCUAUUUCUGCACGUAUGUUCUUCAGACAAUCAAGGUAAGGUUCUUUCAUUUUGAGUUCGUAUUUCCAGUGAUUUUGUGGUUUGGGGCACAGAUCUAGCAAAGGUAGAUUCAUGUUAUUUGGGUUUUAAGGUUGUUGAGGACUUAUGAGGUGAUUCCAUGUGAUGGUAUGGUAGACAAUCAAGGUAAGGUUCUUUCAUUUUGAGUUCGUAUUUCCAGUGAUUUUGUGGUUUGGGGCACAGAUACAGUUUCUAAUUUUAGUUAGUGUAUUUUUAUUAGUUUUUAUUAUUUUCUUCAUGUGAUUGUUAUGUUUUGUAUUAGACUAUGAAUCUUUAUAGAUCAGUUUAGAAGUAGGGUUUUUUAUGUUUGUAUAACUGAUCACUACAAGGGUUUUGAUUUAGAUUAGUAAUCGUCCUUUUUUAAGUCAAUGGUUGUUUUAUUUUGAUUUUGUUUUGAACCCUAAGUUGAUUUACUCCCCAAUUUCUCACACACCACAGAUGGGUGCCCUUGAUAUAAAUACUUUUGUACAUAGAGGUACAUUAUCUGAUUUCAAAAAGAAGAUUGUGGCAACUGAAAAGGAAGCCAGUUUUUUUUUUUGAUCGAGCUAUUAAAGUAGAAAUGGAAGUUGAGAAGCUUAGGGAAGUAAAAGAUGUUCUUGUGGAUAAAGAUUAAAGAUUACCGGCUUCAGUAACGAGAGUAAGAACCGAUAUACAAACUGGCGGUUUGGGUCGGGUAGGAAUCGAUUUGGGUCAAACCGAUUUUAGAUGUGGUAUCGGGUCGGGUUAAGAACCGGUUUAAAUCCAAACUGGCUUUUCUGUACAUCUCUGUGCUUAAUGUUGAUGAUGUAUCCAGGACCAAUGUACAUCUCUGUGCUUAAGGGUCAAGGUUGGAGUUCAGAGUGUUUUUGGUGUUUGCUUUAAUUUCUUUUUCUGGUUUAAUUCUUGCCCUGUAAUGAUAAAUGCAAGUACCCCUCUUUACUUGAUGGCAUCACGUGGCUGAUUGGACAAUGGAUACUUCUAUGCCAAAAUCAAUUCCCAUAUGGAAAUAGUAUGUCUCAUUAUUUGUUUACUUACAGGAAACUAGGCCAAGUAAAAAAUAACAAUGAAUUUUUUUUUUUUUUUUUUUUUACAAAAAAGUUGUGAUUUCAUUACCAAAUUUAUAAAAAUGAGGUUAUGCUUGACCUUGUGAAGUCAAAGGAAGAAACUUUCAAGUUCAAAUUAAACUAAUGCACAAACAGAUUUGAACCAAUAAUGGUACACAUGUGGUGAAGCCAAACGAGCAUGGAAUAAAAUAUUAGAAACUCGAGAUGGGUUGUCGUUCGUAAUAGACAUCAUAAUUAUAUCUGAUGUCAGUCGGCGCACCCGCCGCAACGCGCGGGCAUUCCCACUUUUUACAUUAAAAGCAAUUUCAUUCUCUUUGUAAAUGCUUAUAUAGGCAUGCUAAAUGGGCUGUGUUUGCGGGUCGCAACCAAAUCGUGGAUACGACAUGCGUAUCUGCAAGUUGACAUGAACAUGAUUCUUUAGCGUGGAAUUUUUUUACUUUAUUGUUUUUACAUAUUAAUUUCCUAGAAUUACAAAUUUAAAUGUGUAUUAAACUAAACAAUUAUUUUCAAACUAUUAUAGAUGAUGCUGGACUUUUUAACCUAUUAGUGAGGACUUUUGAACUAUAAAAGAUGAUGCUGGACUUUUAAACUAUAAAAGAUGAUGUUGCUUUCUCUUUUAUAUUUUAAUACGUAGUAUAAUAUAAUCAAUCAAUUUAAGUUAUGACAUAAGCGAGCCCAAUCCGUUUAACUAAAUGUGUGACAUGGGUUUGACCCGAAACCAAAUCAUAAUAUGAUACACCGUUGACAUUUUGUUUCCAAAAGUAGAUUGAUGUUUAUUCGUUUGGGGUGGUCAUGUGGGAGCUGCUAACUGGAGACGAACCUUAUACAAAUAUGGAUUGCGCUAACGUAAUUGGAUGAACAACACAUUGCGUCCUACAAUACCAACUUGGUGUGAUCCUGAAUGGAAAUCAUUAAUGCAAAGUUGUUGGUCUGCAGAUCCUCAAGAAAGACCAUCUUUUUUGGAAAUUUCUAGGAAACUAAGAACCAUGGCUGCAGCAAUCAAUGUCAAAUGAUAUGCAUUAUGCUUUAAAUUUGGGUGUUAGAGUAGCUCUUGCAAAUGGUAUGAAUUGGGAUGAUUUAACUCGGAUGGUCAAAGAGGAGAAGAAAUAUGGAAAUCCCGUUGUAGGCCUUAUUGACAAAUUACAUCUUGAAACAAAUUCCAUGAGUCUGCUUUUGAAUAACAAUCUUGAUGAAUGGACGAUGAUGAAAUUACUCAACCCGUGGAAAAGGUGGUUGAUUGUUUUUACGACUCAAGACAAAGAAAAAAUGAUUUGCCGGAAAUCCUUUUUACUUCCAUAUCGUGACUCUAAUAUAUCACAUCUCAAUUAAAAAAGUUUUACUCAAUUGGCUGUAGAGAGAGUGGAUACAGUGUUGAUGCAGAGAGGAGAUGAAGUUGUUUCCGUCACCCACCGUCUCACCAAACACCGCUUCACCUCCAUUGCCAUGUCUACAAUCUCUGUUCCCACGUUAACAUCAGUAUACAUCGGAGGUUCUAAUUUUCUCUCGGUGGACUAAAAUUUCAGAUAUUAUGCAUUACGACUUUACUAAAAAGGCAUGCAAGUAUACAGAAUUGAUGACAGUGUGAGAGGAGACAAGGCAACAUAUAAAAUUAGUACCUUUAUGUAGAUGAAUUCAUUUGUAUUAUGUAUUACUCUACCUUCAUUUCUUAAUGUAAUUUUUUAUGUUCACACUGCCG